rnacentral:rRNA from 1 species
AACGAACGUUGGCGGCGUGGAUUAGGCAUGCAAGUCGAACGAAUCCCAGGGGCAACUCUGGGGGAAGUGGCGAAAGGGGCAGUAAGGCAUGGGUAACCUACCUCAGGGACUGGGAUAGCCUUCCUAACGGAAGGGUAAUACCGGGCGAUCUGGUGAGCUCGCAUGGGUUUGCCAGGAAAUGAAUUUCGCCUUGAGAGGGGCUCAUGUAGUAUUAGCUUGUUGGCGGGGUAACGGCCCACCAAGGCAAAGAUGCUUAGCAGGUGUGAGAGCACGACCUGCGCCACUGGCACUGAGACACUGGCCAGACUCCUACGGGAGGCUGCAGUCGAGGAUCUUCGGCAAUGGGCGCAAGCCUGACCGAGCGACGCCGCGUGUGCGAUGAAGGCCUUCGGGUUGUAAAGCACUGUCGAGGGGGAGGAAAGCCCGCAAGGGUCUGACCUAUCCCUGGAGGAAGCACGGGCUAAGUUCGUGCCAGCAGCCGCCGUAAAAC